UGACCAAAGUCAGGCUAACAAAGGUUUGUGGGUAAUCCCUGAGUGGAAAAGAACUAAGAAGCAGCAUGUCUCACGAAGCGCUGGGAAAAAGUAAGAUAAGAGAGAAGCUGCAUUCCUGGCACAGUACCAGAUGUGCUGUGUUCCAGCAGCUCCUU